CCUCUGAACUUCCAAGUCAAUGCAAUUUUUAACCACUGGCUUGUGGUACUUUGAAAAUCACCAGGGGCUGUCAGAGUUGGGUCCUCUGAAAAAUUUACAGUGCUAAAUCAGAGCAUAUGCUGUGAGAGAGGGGAAAAAAUUGCUUAAGAUUGGAGCAAGUACAGUAUCUGUCUGCCCCCUAGUGUAAGUCUCUUAUCUGCCUAAAAUUCAACUUUAAAAGAAAAGGAUCUCUUAAAGGGAAACGACUUUUGGCUCACGUAUACAUACGAGAAUGAAACUUCUGUGCAUUUUAAUCUGAUUAAUUCCUAAGGAUUUAAAAUUAAUUGGCUUGGACACUCCUAGAUCGGACAGUAAGAUUUCUGCAUCAGGGUUUCUCCCAAGCCCUGUGUUGAAUAGGUAUUUUUAAGCGGGGGGGACGGGGGGGGGGUGAUUGGUUUGUGAUUUUUUUUUUAAAUGAGAAGCCAUGCCUCUCACGCUUUUGUCAGAACAGAGCAGUUUUGCUGCUUAAAGUCAGAUCUGCACCUUUUGCCAUAAAGAAGGAUAAAUAUUUGCCUUAGAGCUGCAGACCAGCUGCCAACCGCACCUUUCGAUGUAUGAAGAUAGAAAUCUGUUAACUGCUGAGGCAGGUGGGUACAUUUUUGCUGUGAAGCCCUGGGAAAUAAUGUACACAAAAGAAUUUCGGAAAUGAAAGCUGUCUCUGCUAUCUCCUGUUUAAUUAACACAGCCAAUAAGGUGCAAGUUCUUGUUGCCCAAUCCCCACCUUCAGCCAAGGAACAGGUACGAGUAAUCCAUUGAAAGGAGAAAAUUAAAGACUAGAAGUCUCUUCUUUGGCAGCUGUCAUUCCAGUCUAGAUUGUGAGACCUGCACUCAUGUUGGCUUCAUACCUUUGCUGUCCCAUCAAAAUCAAGAAGCAAGAAAUGGCAUAACUAAUGUGUACUGUUGAAAUCAAUGGAACUCCUUGGGAGCACAGUUCUACUCAAUGUAAUACACAGAGGACUGCCCAGACAAUGACAAGGUUGUAUGUAGGAGGUAGAGAUAGCAACACAACUAGAUCUAGUAUCAAGACUCAAAGCCUUUCUAACUUCUAGAGGGUUUGAUGCAUUCACUGAAGUCUGGCCAACAUGACCUGAGGGUAUCUGCAUUGUUGAGAAGCUUCCAAACAUUCUACCUCCCUUUCUUCCUCUCUCUAUCCUCAACAAGUCCUGGAACUAUCUCUGAAGACAUUUAAGGAGGAAAGCUGCUGCAUUCUGCAUAAGUGAGUUUAGUAACCUCCAUCUUCAACUCUGGAUUCUGAGAACUGCUAAGGCCCAGCCUAGAAAUGAUGAACACAUAGAUCAUUGUGGCCAGAUCCUCAUCUAAGAGUACAAAACAAGACAAAGGCUCUAGCACCUGGAAGCUUUAUGAUAUUAAAAAGCAGAUAAUUCGGUGAAUAUCAGCAACUGACUAUUGCUUGGUCUGGAUCAUCUAUUGGGCAGCUAAGAGGAGAGAACAUUGUUUUAAAAGCAUUUGCUAUGAUCAAUUGUAGAACCCUGCUGCCCUGUUCCAGAGGUGUGGCAGAGCAAGUCCCUGCUGAGAUGGUUUUAAUCAUUCCUCAUAGACUACACUCAGAGAGUUGUGAUGGGCACCUGCUGUUUCACUUUUGUAGCCCUCACUCGCAGAGUCCCUCAAGAAUUCAGCCUUUCUCUCUCCUUCUGCUCAUCGUCUGUAUGAGGACAGAUUUUGGAACAUCAUGGACUAAAAGGCCAGCUCUGUGCAGAUAAUACCUAGCUCUAUGUCACCUUAACGUCACACACAGACAGCACCGUCUCUCCAGGCUGAGGUGAGCAACCAUCUGGAAGAGCAGGUGGGUGAAGAUGGAUCCAGAAAAGCCUGAAAUGAGGCUUGCAGUGAGAGGGAAGUGUUUAGAAGAACUUGCCACCUCUGGAACAUUACCUUUCAAUGAGUGUUCACCCUCAGAUCAUUAGGACUUACACAGACUCACUAUUUCUAGAUCCCCAAAUAGCUGCAGCUGAGAAAAGUGCCCCUUUCCAUCUAGGGCCGCCGAAUCUGACUCCUGUCAAUUUUGGACUUAGCCCCAGGGACCUAUGUAUUUGUGACUUCCAGGCAUCAUUAUUGUAAAUCUUUGUACCUAAAAAUGAAACCAUUCUUCUCAGUGGUUCUGAACACAGCAGCCUUUCUGACUGGCAACACAAGAGAACCCAUCACCCCAGUGCUCCACUCUCUAUAGUGGUUCCAUGGGGAAUACUGGGUCAAAUUCAAGGCUUUGGUCUUCAUCUUCAAAGAUCCCUAUGGAACCAGCCCAAGCUGCCUCAUUACCCUACAAGAUCAUGACCUCCCACAACAGUUAUGUUCCACUGGGACCAUGGAGCUGUCAGCCUCAAGAGUGAAACUUGUUCUGGUAGGAAAAAGAGGUUUUUGAGUGACUGGCCUGCAGAUCUGGAACUCGCUCCCAGAAGAGAUAAGGAUGACUGUGAACCUCAGAGUUUUCAGCCCAAAAUGCAAAAUGAAUUCUUCAGUCUAUCUACCCAUACUUGACACUAUGCAUACCAACAUACGUGUCCAGUCCCUUUUGAUGGGGGAAGUAGGAGACAGAAAGAAAGGGAUGUAUUUUUGUGUAUAUACUUAACUAUUUUGGGUAGGAGGCAUUUAGAUAUCCUACUGAUGGCUACCAUAUAAGAAAUUAGAAAGACAGAUAAAGCCAAUUUUAAAAAAAAAUCUUAGUUUAGAAGCUAGCUACCUAUUUUUUUCUGUUUCAGGUUCACAUCUGUGGGUAGCCAAAUAUUUUACUGCAAAUGCUGCAAUAUUUGCUAAUUUUAAUGCUUCUUUUGAAAAGGGGUAUAAUUAUUAUUGCAAACUGUUCACCAGCACUUAUCUGAUCUGGAAAUGGCAAUCAUUAAAUAAAAUAAAAUAAUUAUGUUCUUUAAUCUUUUUGAAGUGCCAGUUCUAAAAAUCAGUGUAUGUAUAUAUAUAUAUAUAUAUAUAUAUAUAUUUUCAAGUCAAUCCUCUAACUUUAUAAUAAGAAUACUCAAAUUUGAGGAGAAGGAGAAUAAAACUUUCUUUGUUCUGUGAAUAUUAGCUUCCAGCAAACUGUCAGUCUAUGCGCUUGUCUCAAACAGGACUUGGGAAAUAUGAGUGGGAUUUUUUUUUAAAUGCACAGUAUUGACCUAACUCUAUGCCCAUGGAAAUCAGUGGAGUUUUAUUAUUGAUUUCAAUGGGAACAGUAUUAGGCCAAAGCUGAGCACAUUCAAAAAUUCCACCCCAAAAGUAUAUCUUAAUAAAAUUAUGUGCAGCUCUAACUCCCACCUGCCACAAAACCCUGAAAUCAAAUAAAUGAACAUUAAAAAUAAACAAAUUAGUGAUUCAUUUACAUACAUCGGCAAAUAGGAUCUGAGUUUUAAAAAAAAGUGAAAAUCAGAGUAAAAAUAAUUUUAUGGCUAUAUAUAAUGGUGUUCAAUACUCACUGUCUAUAUUUAUUAAAAAGAGAAAAAAAUUAAAAGAAGAGAAUUUUCUAUGCAUAAAAAUAAUCUGAAAUUUUAAGACUUACAAAAGAAUUAUUCACAGAGAACAAGUGUGAAUUCAGGGUUAAGUAACACUUGGCUAUUUAAGCACCUUCACAAAAAAGAAAACCUUUUUGUACUUGUAAAACAUGCCAGACUUUCAGUGGAAAUCUCUGAUUUAGAUAUCAUUGAUGUUUCAUUUUAUAUACAGAUCUAUCUCCGCUUUUAAAAAUGCUUCACAAACAGCUUAGCAUUUUUCACAGUUGUUCACCCGCACCCCAAACUCAAUGCCCACCAGUCAGAUUGGUAAUUUUAAUCAACGAAUUAUCUUCUCCUCUUGAUGCAGUUUGGUUGUAUUUUAAAUCCCCCCCAAUCCCCUCCCCCCCCACACACCUUUUCCCUAUUUGAAACCAAUCACAUGUUUAUUCCCACUUCAAAAACAAACAAUUCCCUCCCUCUUGCCCCCACUUUUUAAAUGACAUCUUCAGUCAUUCAUGAGUUAAUAAAAUCUCCAAGUCAUCUGGGGAUAGAUAAGGAGAAAGAAAGAAGAGUAUUGUACACAUAAUGACAGGCUCCCUGCUGCCCCUAAGAUGUCACAGGUCAGCCAUGUUAAGAAUGUGUGCGCCCAAUCAUCUGCUGAUUUUUAUCAGCAAGGCCUCAAGCAGAAUCUGACACGGGCCAGUUUGGGAGUUACAAUGAAUAAACAAUGACUUCUUGGAUUGUUGGCGGCUGUGUGAUAGAGUGAGGGGGUUUAUAUAUACUAAAACAUGAUGACAUUAGCAAUCAAUACACCCAUUACUGGACAAGUUAUUGGACGAAGAAUGCACGUCUCAAGCUUUGUGCACUUUGAACAUAUGACCAACAGUGGAAAUCCACGGUAAUAAUGUUACUUAACCCCUCAUGGGACUGAUAUGCUAAAUCUUAUGUUGCCUGGAAGUAUCUGAGACCAUGUGAUAAAGGAAAGCUUGAUCUGGUCUAGAAUGUUAAAAAAGAAACAAUCAAACAAAAAACCCCACUGUUGGAAGGUUAUCAUUUUCUAUUGUGUUCCAAAGGACUUUUCUAUAAAAGGGAAAGGAAAACAGAUGCAUAAAUGUAUUUUUUGUGUGUGUUACUUUGCUAUUAUAGAAACAUCUCCUCUUCCUCUCAGUCCCGUCCGUGUCAUCAUUCUGCUGGAUGCUUUUGUGAAGUCAGAAUAUCCUGUGUUUAUGGGUUGUCCUCUGUUAGUACGGAAGUGGUUGCGAAGAUGCAAAAUUGGUGUUACAAUUCAUGCCGAAUCAAAUAGAGUAAAAAUGAGUGUCUGUGAAA